GAUGAACGCUGGCGGCGUGCAUAACACAUGCAAGUCGAACGAUGAAACUUAGUCGACUUCUUCGGAAAGACACUAAGCGGAUUAGUGGCGAACGGGUGAGUAACGCGUGAGUAACCUGCCUUACACAAGGGGAUAGCCAUUUGAAACGAAGAAUAAUACCCUAUAAAACCAUAAAAGCACAUGCUAGAAUGGUCCAAGUGAUAGCGGUGUAAGAUGGACUUGCGUCUGAUUAGCUAGUUGGUGAGAUAAAAGCUCACAAAGGCAACGAGCAGUAGCCGGCUUGAGAGCAGGUACGGCACCAUUGGGACUGGGACCAGGACCAGACCCCCACGGAAGGCAGCAGUGGGGAAUGUUGAACACUGGGGGAAACCCGGAGGCAGCGACGCCGCGAGAUUUAGAAGGCCUUGGGGUUGUAAAAAUCUUUUGUCUAGGAAGAAAAUGACGGUACUAUACGAAUAAGGUCCGGCUAAUUACGUG
rnacentral:rRNA from 1 species